rnacentral:lncRNA from 1 species
GGUAUACUCACACAAUUGACCCAAAGCAGAAGUCAGCAGGAAUGGGAGCUGCAACAAAGCACGAAGAAGAGAAAACAGAAAACAUCCAUUGAAUCCUCUGCCUCUGGUAAUGUAUGGCUCCCAGUAUGCCUCCUUCAAGAGCAUGACUGACCCAAUUACUAGUAUGAGCAAAAGAAAGUUUCAGAAAGGUGAUGAAAUUUAAGCUGGGCUUUAAAGGCUACAUCAAAUUUGACAAAUGGAAUUGUGAGGAAAGCACAUUAGAAGUAAAGAGUGAACCCACAAAAACAAGAGAACAUCAUGUUUCUAGAGGCUGCCUGCAUUCCUUGGCUAAUGACUUUGCAUCACUCUGACGUCUUGCUCCCAUGGUCGUAUCACCUACUACUGGCCCUGAUCUCACUACUUGUUAUAUGGAACAAAGGGAUAAGGAAGUGACUUGCCUAAGUCACUGAGGAACCUAAUAUUGAGAUUAGCACUCAAUGAUUCCUGGCUCUCAGAAUGUGUGCUGCUACCACCAGGCCACACUCUUCCCUCCAGAGAGAAGAUGUGUCAGCACGGAAUUGUGCUGAAGCAAAGAUGUGAAAUAGAAUGAUUACAUAUCUACCUAGUGGGAAGAUCUGGGGAAGAAUCUAUCAGUGCUGGCAGAGAAGCAAACCAUACGACAUCACUCAUCCCCAGAAAGUGAAGUUAAGGGAAAUAAAAAACAAUCUACACCAUUUAGAAAACACAGCCACCCCAUACCCUUGGAAAAAAUACACUAAAAUAUCUUCAUCUGAUUUGACCUCUAAUAACAUGAAUAAUUGUCUUAUAACUCA